CCUUAUCUGAGACCACCACCACCCCCACACCCCCUGAGGAUCAGGCAGAGGUUCUGGAAACCAGAACUCCAAGGCCCACUUUGAACUUUGAGCCAGAAAAAUUGGUGCAUAAAGAUCCUAGGUGUUUGGAACCCCUAGAGCCAGGAAACUGUGGUGAAUAUGUGGUUCGAUGGUAUUACGACAAGCAGGUCAACUCCUGUGCCCGCUUUUGGUUCAGUGGCUGUAAUGGCUCAGGAAAUAGAUUCAACAGUGAAAAGGAAUGUCGAGAAAUCUGCAUUCAAGAAUGAGCAAGUAAAUCACCCUGUACUGAGUCAAAUCUGUGUCUUUAUCAACAAGCCUAGGAAGAACCUCUGUAAUUUCAAUAUUUACCCAAUACAAAUAAAACACCGUAUUUUUUGAGUGUGACCUGAGCAUUGACAAUUCAUAAACAUAGUCGAAUCCUUACCACCACCCUAGAAUGUAGGUAUUAUUAACUGUUUUUACAGGUGAGGAAGCUAAGGCUCUGAGAAGUUUAGGAACUUCUCAAUGGUCACUCAACUAAAAAGUGGCAGAGUGGGGGUCUGACCCAGGGUUGUAAUCUCAGAACGUAGGCUCUAUCUAUCUCACAACCUGCAAUGUGGUUCUGAUUGCCAUCAUUCCUUUGCUAGGUAUUGUGUCAGAUCAAACUCCUGCCUCAGACCACUCCCACUCUUCCUGGCUCCCCCAGUCCCUCCCACCUACCUCAGUCUCCCAGGUCCCUCAUAGCCCUGCCAGGAGCAAAAGGCAGGUGGUGGGGAAGGAUUUGGUUUGCACAUUAUAAGUGAUGGAAGUAUGUUUGUAUAUAGAUGACGGUGAGAUAAGAAAGAUACCCGGCUUGGGGGAAACUCAGAAUGACAGAGUGGUUCAGAGAGAUGAGAGACUCUGGGAUAGGAGUAGGGAUGAUUAAGAGUAGUUCAAUUUUUGCCUCACUUGCUCUCAAAGUGAUUAGGAAACCAAUCUGAAUUAAAAUGACUUAGAUUUAUUAACAGUGGUCACUCCGCACUCUUCCAACAUAUUUGGAAGAAAAACCUUUAUUGUAUGUAUAUUUAAAAUGAAAAUUCUCAUUUAGAUGAAGAAACUUUUCCCACUCUUCUUUUAAAAUGUAUAAAUGCAACUUGCAAUUUAAGGGGGUGAAAUGGGAAGGUAUUUGACAGCUGAGGACUGCUUGAUAUAUGUAAUUUUAUAUGAAAAUCACUUAAAUCUCUAUGUAUCUCUAAUACACAGUCUUAUUUAUUGUAGAGCUUUAGAAUUAUGGUGUCAUAGUCUGGCCUUUUGCAACUUGCUACUUUUCAUUCACAGCUAUAAUUAAUCCCUGUUUUACCAUAUCUAAAUGUAUUUCUAAAUAAUUUAUUAUUUAGGUUGUUUUGAGCUUUAAAAAAUUGGUUUCACAAUACAUAAUUCUUUGCCACUUGGUAUGUUAUUAUAAUUCAUACAUACUCAUUUACUUUCAUAGUUACAUAAUGUUGGUGUGAAUAUAUCACAGCAUAUUUAACCAUUGCCUUGACUAUGUUAAAUGGUUUCUAUUUAGUAUUUUUCAUUAUUCCACCAGUGUUGCUAUGGAUUCUCUUACACACAGCAUUGGCUGUACAUAUACCAUUGUUUUUCAACCUCAAUGUGGAAUUGCUGGGUUGCAGGAUAUGUAAACAUUCAACACACACAAACAUUGAUUUGGCCCAUUAUAAAUUCUUCCCAGUUGUGUUUAAGAGUUCCCAUUGCUUGAUAUUCUUUUUAACACAAUGUUGUCAGGCUUCUUCAUUUUGCUAAUAGUACAUGUAAAAUGGUAUCUUGUUUUAAUUUGCCUUUCUCUGGUAACAGCUUAACCAUAUUUAUUUACCAUCUGUGCCAUUGCUUCUGUGAAAUGUUUGUUCAUAAUUGGGGAGAAUUUUCUCAUUGCAUUGUUUGUCUGUGCUUAUUGGACUUCUGGUGUUCCUUAUAUAUUCUGAAAUUGAACUCUUUGCUCAUUAUUUGUGUUGUUAAUAGCUUGUGGCUUGUGUUUUUUACUUUACUCUUUUCCUUUUUAAUAAUGAGCAGAAGUCUCAAUUUUAAGGCAAAUUUGCCCAUCUUUUCUUUUGCAGCUAGCACCUUUUUCCCCUUGUUUAUGUCCUUUAGCCACUUGGCCACCUUCCUUGGGUGGGAAACUGCCCCAGGACAAAUCCUGCUCUGGCUGCUGGGUGUACCUCUCUAGAUUCCAUCUUUAUGUCUGGUAAUUCCUUAGCAGCCUAUUAGCACCUUGAUUCCCAGGUGAUUGUUUUUUCAAGCAACAGCAGAUCCUUAACUCAAUGUGCCAUUCCAGGGGUUGAACUUGCGUCCUGGUGCUUUCAAGAUGUCUGCUGUGCCUCAGCGGGAACUCCACGUGGAUUAGUUUUGUUUUGCUGCUGUAACAUAUUACCAAGUUUGGCAGCUUAAGCAACACCAGUGUAUUAUCAGUUCUGCAGAUCAGAAGUCUGAUGCAGGUCUCACUGGGCUGUGUUUCUUCUAGCAGAUCUAGGGAAGAAUCCGUCUUCUUCCCUUUUCCAGCUUCUAGAGGCCACUGACCCACCUUGGUUCCUGGCCCCUUCCUCUAUCCUCAGAGCCAGCAAUAAUAGGUUGAAUCUUCUCAUGCUGCCAUCUUGCUGGUUCUCUGAGUACAGCUAGGAAAGGUUCUCUGCUUUUAAGAUCUCAUAUGAUGUGAUACAGUCCACCCGGAUAAUCAGGGAUGCUCUACCUGUCUCACAUCUACAAGUCCUUUUGCUAUGGAAGGUAACUAUACACAGGUUCUGGGCACUAGGGAAUGGACACUGUUGUGUCCAUUAUUCUGUUGAUCACAGCAUCUGUGCCCUCUGCCUGUUGCCUGAGCCUAGGAACAAAAACAUGCCUUGCUUUCUCUGUGUCCCUAGUUCCUGGCACAUAGGAAGAACUCCAUGCAUUUAAAAAAAUUUGAACUCACUUAUAAAGUGAGUUCUAAGUCACUAGAGAAAUAAUUAACUCCUUGGAAGAGAGGAAUGAAAAAAGUUAAGAAAAAAAUCACAUCAGUUUAAAAGAAUAAGAGAAAAGUGAUAUGCUAGGGAGUAAAAGCUAUGACUCAUCCACUUUGAGAUUCAGGACACUCCUCCCCUCUUUCCCCACUGUCGUAAGCAAACAAAGACGAAAGUCAGAGGGAGUGUUGUCUGGCUAGAUAAAGCAAAGAGGCUUAACUGAACAACCUAAGAAUUAAUUUUGGAAAAGAGAAUGAUGAUUUAUGCUUUAAUUUUAAUCUGCUUUAAAAGCUAAUAUGGAAAUAACCCAAGUACCCAUCAACAGAAGGAUAAAUAAGAUGUGAUACACACAUAUACACAAUGGAGUAUUACUCAGCCAUAAAAUGGAAUGAAAUGUUGCCAUUUGCUUCUCCAUGAACAGACCUAGAGAAUAUCACGCAUGGUGAAAUAAAUCAGACAAAGACAAAUACUGUAUAAUAUCACUUAAAUGUGGAAUCUCAAAAAAACAAAACAAAACAAAUGAAUCAAUAUACAAAACAGAAAAAGACUCAGACAUAGAAAACAAACUUUGGUUUACCAAAAGGGAGGGGAGGGGAAGGAAUUAAUUAGGAGUAUAGGAUCAAUAGAUAUAAACUACUAUAUCUAAAAUAGAUAAUAAGGAUUUAAUGUAUAGUACAGGGAAUUAUACCCAAUAUCUUAUAAUAAUCUAUAGCAGAAUGUAAUUGGGGGAAAAAACCCAAACUGAAUCACUGUGCUAUACACUUGAAACUAACACAAUGUUAUAAAUCAACCAUACUUAUAUUUUUAAAUAGCCAAUAGAGAUAGGGGGACAGGACAUUUUUAUCUCUGCUUUCAAACUUUAAAAAGGACAAUAUAUACAAAAUACUAAAACCAAGAGUGUGUAUAUCAAAAGUCUCUGUUUUAAAUUAAGACAUUGAAAAGUUUUAGGUUUUCCAUCAAGUACUAAUGCUAGAAUUUUAAUGACAAACCUCCAUCGAAAUGUUAAAAUAGAUGAUCAUUUCUAUCACUUUCAUUUAGUUUAAACCUCAAUUUUGCUGACUGCAAGAAUUGCUCUAAGCAGGAACAUGCUAAAUUUAUAAAAUGACAAGUAGUGUUGCUGUUGAUCUGAAAGACAGCAAGAAGUAAAGGGAUGAGAGCAAGCUAUCUGCAUGUAACACAUUAUAGAAUUGUUUCAUAUCACUAAUAAACCAAGAGAUCUUAUAAGUCAAAAAGAAUAAGAAGGAAAAAAUAGGAAAACGGUAGGGAUUGGCAAUUCAAAGAAGAUGGCCAACCCACAUCUAAAGAGAUGCUCAGCUUCACUAACUGUCAGGGAAAUAUGUACCAAGCAGGUCUGGGGUCUGGGGUGAGGCUGGGCACCCACAGGUGAUUCAGCAACCCUUGCUAUGAACCAGCAAGGAGACAUCUGAAUGAUGACAACCUUAGGAGAAAGUGUACUAUUUGAAUUGGAAUUUCAGAUAUUUGACAAUUUAUGCCCUUUUCCUCUUUUAAUCUAUAGUUCAAUGUCUUUUGUGAACAGCAAUGCAAAGAUGGAUUGAUGCCGUUGAAGUGUCCAAGAGCUUUCCCACUCUUGAUAAUAUCUUUUAGCGAGACGUCACUAAAAUAAGAUAUAUUUUAGAAUAUAUGUUUGUCUGAAAAAAAGAAUAGUACCCCAAUCAUAUUUCACACAUCUAUGAAUGGCAUUUCAGAUUAAAAAAAAUAUGUAUUGGGCUGAUUUGAUUUCUAAAAGCAUUAUUUCUUAUCAUUUUUCCAUAAAUGUGUAUCUUGAAAAAUCCUUCAUUUAAACUAAUUCAUUAAAAA
rnacentral:lncRNA from 1 species